AGUAAAUCUUGUGAAAAUGACAUCUGGGGAAAUGUUUACAAGUGAAGAGGAAAAGCUCAUUGUGUUGUGGUGAUGGAACUUUCUUUUAUCUCUACAGGAGAACUUCAAGGGCAGCAGUUCCUGAAGGUAGUGGGAGAAAAUCCAGAAGAGGACCUACUGCUGAGCGAGGAAGAACGUGUUGAGGUUCGAGCACUGCGUGAGCGGGCAAUACAGUUCCAGCAUGAGCGGCAACGACUCCACCAGAAUCUCUCACAGUGCCGUGUGUGCCACCACCAACUGGAUAACCAACAAAGAACUUGGAACUGUCAUGGAUGCAACAACAUCAAUGAGCGUCACAGCAGCAGCAGCAGCAGUAAGAAAACAUCAGAUGUGUGCAGGACCCACAGCGGUACUCCAGUAUUACCAUCAGUGACUCAUUGUAGACAACGUGAAGGCCAAGAGACCUCCUCCUCAUCUGGCCCAAGUAGUGGUGGAGAGCCUAUGUCAGAGGGACCAGAAGAUUCUCCAAGUGCAGCUAAUGUGUCUGUUCAAACGGAAUCGUCAGUGUCAUUUACGGCUAGCACAGAUUUACGUUCCUACCUCAACACCUCCCUUGAUAAUUCCCUCGACACAUCCAUUAGUGCCUGUAAUGAUACCUGGCACCAUUCAUCCUCACUGACCGAUGUCGAUGAAGCUCUUCUGUUGAGUGCCUCUCCGGAGGUAGCCACCAACCUCAUCCUCGGACGCCUCCACCCAUCUGCCGUCCUGCAUCCUUCCACCAAGAUACGGCCUUCUCAGGCCGACUCUCAACACACAGAGACGGCCAGCACCACUCUGGUACAAGGUCGGCAGUCACUGGAGCGGCUUGCAGCUUCAGAGAACCACGAUACCACCACCACAGCCUCCUUGAGUCUCAGUUUUGCAUCAGUCUCAGAGGAAGGCGGUGAAGGAUCUGGAGAUGGACUCGAAGUAUCUGAAGAAAUUUUAGAAGUGUCAGAGGAGGCGAUAGAUGGUUCAGAAGAAGACCGGGCAGGAAGUUUGCCUAGUGAGGUAGAGUCUGACUCACACAAAGAAGAGGAUAACCACAGACAAACUUCCCUGUUUACAUCACAGAGAAGAAAUCCAAAAACAACUACUGGAGAUGUUGGUAAGAGUGUGAGGGAGGGAGGAACCAGUACUGGAGUGAGAGAAGUAAGAGAAGUGAGAGAUGCGAGGGAGCCAUCUUGGAUGUUACAACGAGACUCUGGGCGCAGCAGCAGUCAUAGCGACUACCUGGACGACUACCUGGAGCUGUUAACAAGCAGGUGUGGUAGUGGUCUUGGCUUAGAGACAAAUGUGUUGUCUGUCACAAUGUGUAAAGCUUCUGCACCAGUUACUACUACCAGCACCACAACCUCCUCUAAAAUCAUGAGCACCAGUACCUCUGAGACCUAUAAUGGAAGUAUUGCCACUGCUGUUGGGGCGAACAAUGGCGAUAAACAAAAGGAAAAGAAAAAUGAGGAUGUGGAAGCUAGUCAUGAGAAGGUUGUGCACAAAGGGAAGGAUGUUGAAAAGACAGAUACUCACGAGAAUGGCAAGAGAAUAAGGAGCCCCAGAGAGCUACAAAGAGCAAGGGAUGUACUCGGAGAACCUCGAUCGCUGUCGGCAACUUCAGAACGUAGGGUGAGCAGGAAGAGCAGAGCCCGGAGAUGGUCGUCCGCCCAGUCGUUGGACCCAGGGCGUAGUGUGGGCAGCAAGUACCUUGACAGCUACCUGGGCAACUUAACAGAUGAUGCUUGGCUGCAGUACCCUACCCAGCUGACCUCCCGUCGUAUGGUGUUCCUUGACUCAGAUGAGUACAUCCACUCAGUGAGGCCACACGGUGUUAGAAAACUCCAGGAAGAUAGUUCGAGGACUAGAUACCAUUCACUUUCAGAGAGCUCAGCAUCAGAGGACAGCAAGAAGCACGACUCUUACGUCACAUCAUCAGACGACCCUCUCUCUAAUAUCCACGGCAAGAGUGACUCAUCUGAAGACUGGUCAAAGGAUCCAUCAAGCAGAGACAAUAAAAGAGGAACAAUUAAUCAACUUUCUGCAAGAGAGGAUCAACCAAAUAUACCACAAGCUACAUCACAAGCUCCUCAGCAGAAUUUAGGCCCUGACAGUAAAAACAUUCCAACCAAUGUGUUCUCAAAUCAAUCCACCCAGCCGAUCCAGGAAUCUACAGAUUUAUCCUUUGAGAUUCACAAUGUACAAGAGAACAUCUUACAUGAGGCUCCUGAAACACCUUCAGAUAGGACAGAGACUAAGGUUAGUAGUGAUGAAGGAAUUGAACUUCUUGGAAGCCCAGCAAGCACAGGUUCUGAUGUGAAGAUUGUUAUUGAUGGUAAUGGUUCCAAGAGCUCCAGCAAGGAAGAAAUUUCCAUAGUAGAAGAAGAGAUUGAGGUUAACCCACCCAGCCCCAGUCACAGUGCAGAAGUUGCAACUAAAGAGCAAGAUAAAAGUGGUGUGGAGGAUAUGGUCCCAGAAUUUAAGUUUGGGGGGGUGGUAGGCUGUGCUGAAAAUAAUGAAGAGCGUCAAGACAGCUCAUCUGAAGACAGCAGUGAAACAGAACCAAGUACAAUUGUCUAUGUGGAGGACUGUUCAAUUGAUAGUCUUAGUCUUAGUCUUAGUGAAGGACAGAAAAAUUCACUUGUGGAGAGUGAAGGAAAAAGUAAGUCACAGAUAGAUCUUAAGGCACAUAGCAAUACUCAGAUAGGUAACAAGGAGCAGAGCAGCUGGCAAGAAGAUGGUAAGGGACCUGGUAGUGAGGUAGAGGAAAGUGGUGGAGUUACUUUGGGUGAGACAGGCACAGUUUUAGUACAUGAAGAGAAAACUUCACCAAGAAAGGACAGUGAAAGGAUAUAUAAUAAAUUGCCUGAACAAUCUCCUUUAAAAAGUGUCCAGCUUGUUAAAGCAUCAAAAUAUGCAGAGGUAAUCAAUGAAAGUGAUACAAGAAGAAAUCCAGUGACAGGUGAGCAAAGACUCCCAAAUAAUGAUCAGGGCAAGAAAGGAAUUGCAGAGUAUGACAUUUAUGAUUCAGAGGAUGAAUGUUUGGUAGUGCAGGUGUAUGAAGAUCAGAGCAUUAUAUCCCAUAGUGGAGUUAGGAGAGAGAUGUCUGAAUUGGGAAGAGAUAGCAGUGCAGAUUCUGAUUAUGUAGAGGAAGUGGUGAAAAUUGUGCCCCAAAGAAGAGACAGGAUGAAGAAUGAUGUGGAUACCAGCUGUGUGGUGGAGCUUGUGCCAUAUAGAGAUUCAGAAGAUGCUAUGGGUCAAGUGUUGACUCUGUUGAGGGCCAAGCAGCAGCAGGAGCUGGAGGAGUUGCGAGUACGACAGGAAGAGGAGGUUCGUCAGUUUAUUAAACAGUUGCAGAAUGUGUCACCCGAGCACCUACAUGCAUUUCUCGCUGCCAGCCAUGCGAGUGGAUCAGGUGAAAGUAGCAGUUCUGGGGAUGGUCCCUCAUAUGUGUUGUCUCAGACGGCUCUCAAAACCAAAACUGUUGUUAGACCAAGUAUUGAAAAUGAUGAUAGUAGAAAUGUAAACAGGCAACAAAGAUCAAAUAUGAAUAUUGCAUCAUUCAGUGAGGCAUCUGUUUAUAGUGACAGUGAUGAUAUUGUGGUUUCCAGUUCUGAAAUCCCAGUUUUAAGUAUUGAAAAUCUUGAACAGAUUCCAUCAGUAAUUCCUUCACAACCUGGUCAGGCCAGAGAGUGGAACAGUCAGUCAAGUUCAUCAUCAUCUAGCACCACACAUCCCCUUGUUGUCACACUGCCAUGCCCCUCCACACAUCUCCCAAUAUUGACAUUUCCACCUGCCACUACUCAUCCACCCACAACUGUUGACAAGGCUGAAGUAGAAUCUCCUAAGCCACGACCCUCCAAUCAUACCAAUCUCAUGCCAUCAUACAUUAUGAAUGAAGAGAUGAGAAAAUCCACAGGGCAUCAAGAGAAUGAUAACUACAUGCAGCUUGAUUUAGACUUAAGAACAGUCAGUCCUAAACAUCCCUCUACCCAAAGUCCUCAUCACAUCCCAAUCUCAGGGACUUCAAUGGAUGAGUCUGGAAGCAGUAGUGUGGAAUAUUCUCAUGCCAGGAACAACAAUGCAGAUGCUGAUGACUCACUUAGCUUCAUCAAUGGGAACUGUGUGAAUUAUGGGGAUGGAAUGCAGUACUAUAGAUUAUGCACUCCCGACGAAGACCUCAGCAUCAGUGAGAUUACCCCAAGGACCACCGAGGUGGAAACCCACUAUCAGUCUAAGCCUACAGAAACAGUAACUCAACCUGGAUUGUUCAAAGUUAUGAAUAAUGGCCCAUGGCCAGGCCCAAGGCCCACCAGUAUCACUAGCCUCCUGGCAGAACAUCCAGAGAUUUUCAGAGAAGACAUAGUGGAGGUGAAUUUGGAGCAUGCAGGAGAUUGGGGAACAUCUACUGUGGGACUCAGGGACCCUUGCAGGACUGUAGUGGAUGAGUGCAGCAUGACCCGCGAGGCUGCUGCCACGGCAGAAGGUGGGCUCGACAUGGUGCCAGAGAGAGAGAGUGCUGCCAGUGUUCACUUCCUUCGUCUGAGUCAGAACGUGAUCUUUGUGAGGGGCAUCGUACUUCUACAAGCUUGUGUCAGAAGGUACAUGACACAGAGACUUCUGCGGACCAAGUUUGUCCAAGAGCAGCUGGCAACACUAGCAGAAAUUGCCAAGUUAGCCCAGCAGUUUCAUUGUGACAUCCUUACUGACAACAUCCACAAGGGAGAUGUAGACUUCCACAAGGCACUGUACAACCAGGAAGGCCUGGCUCGAGAGAGGAUUCGAAGGGUGUUUUUUGUACUUAGUGUUCAAGAACAGAUGUCUCUCAUCUGUCGGGACCGACAGCUCUGGCAAAUGGAGCAAGAACGACAGACUUCAACAAUUUUGCGACCAUCACCAACACACAGUAAUUCAUCUAAGCCUAAGAGCAGAAAUGUUGAGGAUAGACCAAGAUCAGGAAUAGCAUCAAAGACACCGGCAGCAAAGAGACCUUCUCCUACUGCCCCAAGACCUCAACAGGAGGUUAAAGCUCGUGCUGGAUCUCUGAGAAGCAGAACAUCUCGGCUGGUGCAGCCUUCUCAUGCUCAUCAUUUGUCACCAUCACACAAUGUUAAUAUGUCAAAUGUACACACAGAUCAUAAGGUUUCCUCCAGAAGCAAGUUGCCUGUUCAGAUGGAGCGAUCAACUUCACACGUAGACAGUGCACCUUCACACUAUACUAAGACAUCACAUGUUAAGUCCCCACAAGACACUAGAUCUGGCCUCCUCCCAAGUAAUAGAUGUGCAUCACACCCUCGCAGCAGCAGUACCUCUCAGAUACCCAGUCGAACUAGUUCAAGACAAAGUUCCAGAGCGUCAGGUCACGUGGCCAGUGUGAAUCGAAGUAUGAGCUGCAGUAGCAGGAGUACUACUCAUUCCAACAGUCCACGUAGAGGGCUGUGGUUGCAAUGAGAAGUUAUGAUUGAUCAGUGGAUUAGUCCCAGCCAUUAAUGUUUGAGGACGUCCUGGGUUUUCAUCACAUGGUCUUUUUGGGCUUAAUAUCAACACCACCAAGGUCGGCCACCAAGACAUCCAUAGUGGGUAGAAGACCGUGGCGGUGAUGGUGGCGGACAGGAGGCCCUGUUGGAUGGCACCUAGGCCAGUGGCAACUUCGGGUUAAGACUCUGUAUAAUGUAUCACGUGGCAAAGCUUCACGCAUUAUAAGCCAGCAAAAGACAAAUCUGCAUGUAUACAAGUCAUACAUACCACAAGGGAAAACAAUAUCUGUGAAAGACAUGUAAAAGCCUGGGCCUCUUUGUAAUGUAUUUCCUGGUUAAGCUUUGUAAGUGCUAGACUCUUGUGUGUUGAGCAGCUACUCCAGCCUGUGUCAAGAAACUAUCCAUUGUAUUUUCUCUGUAAUGGAUAUCAUGUCAGAUACUCAGAAUCUUGUAUAAUUCCCUUUUGCACUGACCUUUACAUCCAUAUUUAUUUAUUUUUCACAUCCCACACAUGCACACCCCCACAAGACACACACACACACACACAUGUGCACCCCAUACAAUAUUUCACACACUCAUGCACACAGAUAUGAAUUUAUUUAUUCUCGCAAGCCUUGCCUUUUUCUGCUAUUAUACAAAUGUCUGAAAUCAAGAAGAUGAAGAAAAAAAAGAAAAACGACCCCUUGAUACUUCUUCAUUCAGUUACCGGUACUUUAACUGGUGUGACAUCCCUGUAAUCCAAUCGACCUUUUGCUCACCUGUGCAUUACAUGAUCGUUUGUUUCCUGGCUAUCAUUCCUUCCAUAUUUAGGUCUUCCCUUGCCUCAUCCCUACACCUCCUUCUUGGUCUUACCCUCUCACUUUCAUCUCCUUCUUGGUCUUGCCCUCUCACUUUCAUCUCCUUGGUCUUACCCUCUCACUUUCAUCUCCUUUUUGGCCUUGCCCUCUCACUUUCAUCUCCUUCUUGGUCUUGCCCUCUCACUUUCAUCUCCUUGCCCUCUCACUUUCAUCUCCUGGGUUUUAUUCUCUUACUGCACAUUGAACAUCAUCAUCAUCAUCACUCUCCUGGGUCAGCCCCUUUCCCACAUCUUCUAAUUCUGUACAGGGUAUAUGUUUUUCUCUGCCUCAUAUUCACCCUUAUAUAAUGUACAGUAUACAUAACUCAGUACACUAGUAUAUGGAAUUUCUAUAUCAUUUAAUGUUUCUUGUGUGAGAGUUGUGGCCAUCUCUGUAGGGUGUUGAUGCUUCUAGCCUGUUCUGUGCUGUAUCAUCCUUGGUUUUAUGGAGUUAUAUGGUAUACAGUAUAGAUAAAUCCCCUUCUUCUCUUAUUAAUUAUAAACUGGAUAUUUGUGACCAGUGUAAUGUUCAAAAAGCUAGUUGGUAUGAGGUCAUGCCAUCAUAAAGUGAAUAAGUGUGUAAAAGUGAAGCCUUAUCUUGGACAUUGCUUAACGUUUGAAAUCCAUUACAAUACUUUAUUCCGAGUGAACUUUAGACCUAUGAAACUUUUCCCCAGAAAUUUAUGUGCAGCCUAUUGUACAUGAAAAAACUAUAUAGUUAAAAGAAACCCAUAAGUCGCUGAACAACUCUGGUCUAUGUACUAUUAUGGUAUAUAAUUUAAUCUAGUGUUGAUAUUGAGUAUAGUGAAAUAUACGGUACGGUAUCACAAGAUCUUGUAUAUUUCGUAUUAGAAUUCCUUACCGUCUCUUCCAGUUGCAUUUGUUGUCUCCUCACUUAGUCAUUAUUUAGACUGUCUGGUUUGGAUAACUUGCUAGUCACUGUAGGUUAAUAUUUUUGUAUGUGGUUCAUGUUUUAUUUUGUUAGAUAAUGUUAUAAAUGCCACAGUUUGAUAGCUUUGCUGAAUAAUUGGGGGCAGAUUAAGCAGUAUCUGUGCUGAUGAUAUUACAAACCUCUGUCUCGAAUUAACAUGCCUUUAUACUGUAAUGGAUGAAAUGUGGUAAUCAAGAUAAUGUUGUUUUGAUGUCAAGGAUAUGAUUUUUACAAUGCUUUGUUAUAAUUAUAUCUGGUCUCCCAGUUGUGUAUUAAGGCUAUUUUUAAUUUUCACACAUCUCUUUCAAUUUUCAUUUCAUAUUUAGUUAGUAUAUUUCUUUUAUUUGUUCUUGCAUUUUAAUGUAUGGAUAAUCCAAAAAAUGUGCCUGAGUAAUUUGUAAUUACAUUGUAUAUUGUCUUAGAUGUCAAAAGAUUACAAGAACUCUUUAUCUCAAUGUAUAAUAUAUUCAUUGAGCUAUUUCCCAUGUUUAAAGGAGCAGGCACUCAUGGAAUUGGUGAUUACAUCGUUGGUUGAAUGGUUGAGGAGUAGAACAUGUGUUGGUUGGUUCAGGGAAUAUGAAAAAUGAAUGAUAUAACUACAGUAGAACCUUGAAUGAUUGUGUUCCCUCAGGACCAACAUGGCAGAUUAAAAGUACCAUUGCAGUAAUUUAUAACGUGGGGUAGGUAGAUAAUUCCGCUACAUCGUGAUCCCAAAGUACAGUAUCAGAUAUGGAAAGUGAUACAACUAAGUACACACUGAAAGGUUAUAAUUGCCUACAAAUAACUAAAAAAGUGUUCAGAUCUUCCAUAUUAGUCCUCCACAUUGUCAUUUUACUCGCAUCACUGUCAUGUUGCUUGUGAAAUCUUGAAUGUUAUCUACUCUCCUGCUAAAUAUCAAGCUGAUUUUCCUCUCUUGAGUUACUGACUAUUGCCAGUUGAUCGUGUAGUACAGAUAAUCCUCCUUGUUUUGUAGUUGCCAUUACAAGCUUUCAGUUACAGUACACCCUGAAGGGAUGCUGUAACAUGACUCGAUGAUAAGUUGAUUGGUGCUCCUGUCAGAAUGCCAGUUUCUUUAUUUCUUUUAACUUUUCUGUAUUAAAUAUUAUCACAAGUUUUCUCUCUUUAAACUUUAUUAAAUUGUUUCAGAUAAAAUGGAAAUUUUCACAUCUUUGGACUUCCAUAAAACAAACUGAAUUAUGAGUGAAAUUAAUGUGAAAUGAUUUAUCUUAUGAUCACUAGGUACAUGAACACUCGAGGUUCUACUGUAUAACGUAUAAAGCUGACCAGAAGCAAUGCAAAUAUCUUUUUGUGAAUAAUUGUAGUAAAUACUGAAGAAAAAAAAAAACAGUAUUGGUGUUGAAUCUCAUUAUAUUGUACACUAGUAGUAUUUCUCUCCAUUGAACUUAUUUGUGUCUAGAAAUGAUAGCAAAGCUUUCUUUGUACUGUACCACACAUGACUGCAGCAAAUAGGUAAUGAGAGGACCAAAUGAGAUUACAGAAAACGUUUAUAUGCCAAGAAGAGGAUGGUUACAUCGUUUUAUUAUCAAUAAAUGUAAAUACUGUAAUUAUUUAAUAACUGCUGAAAUGGUGCUUUAGAAAAAUAAAAGACAAAUGGUGCUCCUUAAGUAACUACUGUAUCUUCAUGAGAGGUAUAUACAUAGAGUAUUAAGAAGCUUGGCAAGAACUUAAAUCUUUUGACAUGAGAAGCAAACAUUUUAACACCUACUAGGCAUUGGUCACAAAAAAUAUAAUAAGUUGAUCUGGUUAUAACAAUACUCAAGGUUUUCUCUCCAUAAUUUUAUUUAUAGAUAACCAUAAUUGAAAGUGCAUUAUAUUUUGUGUUGACUGGAAUAGAUGCAGUUCUAUCUUGUUAAAAUGGUGUUUAUAUCGGUGUAGAGUUAGUGUAUGGCAUGAACACAUCUGGCUGCUGCACAACUGCUGACCAGUUGAUACAUUAGUAUAGGAAAGAUAUCAACUCGUUCAAUGUGAAAUGGCAAAAAAAUUCAUAUAAUAGAAAACUUUUAUAUCAGAAUAUGCAACCCUUCUUCAGGCAUGGGAAAUGGCAUGUUGUAGGUAGACGUCCAUGACUUAAUCUGUGACCUCACUGCAGUCUUGUCAAAUAUGUCUUUAUAGAGGUAUAUUUCAUUCAUAGUACUAAGCCAGUGUUGUAAUGUUACACUGGAUGUCUUAUCUUUAUAUCAUAAGGCUUUCAUGUUUUUGUCCCAAGUGCUGACUCCUUGGUCAUGGAGUUGCUGAUAACAAAAUCCUAAAAGUGACAAAAUAUCUCAAAAUUAAGCAUUCCAAUUUACUGUGGAUUCUCUACAAGUGCAAAUAUUAUUUAUUUUAGCAAGUAUUGAUAUCAUAUCACUGGUAUUGUAACCAACUACAGUACUUGAAUAUGGGAGACUUUAUUAAGGGUUAGUUACUGCUGCUGCUUGUGCUAAAGCUAAGCUGCAAGUACACAUUAUUGUAAUGUAUUGCAGUACAGUACUAUAUACAAUUUUCUUGAUUUGCUUGCCUUUACGACAGUUUUCUCAAAGAAAAUUGUUUAUGAUCUCUGUAAAUGAAAUAAAUGUUUAAUAAGCUGUUUUGUAGCCACUUUGUUAUGUGCAAUGUUCAGUAUCAUGAAGAUUGUUGCGUACUGUACCGUACUGUACUCCAUAAAUGCUGUACUACUGUAUUAUGGUGAGACAAACCCUGAGGCCAGUACUGUAUCAGCAACAGGUGGUAUUCAUUGUACAUGAAUGCCACACAUUUUCUUGCCUCAUGAGCCGAGUGGGAAAAGUAUACUGUAGUCUCACAUUAUACCAUUCCAUGUGUAUAAAGUUAUACACCAUUAUCUUCCUAUUACACAAUCAAUGGAAGAGUAAGGUGUGCCUAUUUUAUCAUUACAUAUAUAGAAAUAUAUAUUCAUUUUAUAUUUAUUUUGCCUUAUUUUAACUUUUGUCAAUGCUGUCACAUGCCAACAUGCCAAGGCAUCAGUUUCUCCAUGAAUAUACGGUACAAUAGUUGUACUAAUUAAUUUUAUCUUCUGUUUAUUUCAUUUUUUUUAAGGUCUUCAGACAUGACAAUAGCACUUGGCAGUCUCACUUAUGUUUGGUGAACAGUUCAAGUGAACAAAUGAACUCAAUAAAUACAUGACAUUUAAA
rnacentral:misc_RNA from 1 species